UACGGGAGGCAGCAGUCGGGAAUAUUGCGCAAUGGAGGAAACUCUGACGCAGUGACGCCGCGUAUAGGAAGAAGGUUUUCGGAUUGUAAACUAUUGUCGUAGGGGAAGAUAAAAGACAGUACCCUAGGAGGAAGCUCCGGCUAACUACGUGCCAGCAGCCGCGGUAAU
rnacentral:rRNA from 1 species